AGGGGCAUAGUUUAAAGGUAGAACAGCGGUCUCCAAAACCGUUANGUGUGGGUUCAAUUCCUGCUGCCCCUGCCA
rnacentral:tRNA from 1 species